rnacentral:rRNA from 1 species
AUUGAACGCUGGCGGCAGGCCUAACACAUGCAAGUCGAACGAGUGGCGGACGGGUGAGUAAUGUCUGGGAAACUGCCCGCUGGAGGGGGAUAAUUACUGGAAACGGUUGCUAAUACCGCAUACAAUCGGAUGUGACCAGAUGGGAUUAGCUAGUAGGUUGGGUAACGGCUCACCUGGGCGACGUACCCUAGCUGGUCUGAGAGGAGGACCAGCGACCCUGGAACUGGGACACGGACAAGACUCCUACGGUAGGCAGCAGUGGGGAAUAUGACGCAGUGGGCGCAAGCCUGAUGCAGCCAUGCCUCGUGUAUGAAGAAGGCCUUCGGGUUGUGAAGUACUUUCAGCGAGGGGGCGUUACUCGCAGAAGAAGCACCGGCUAACUCCGUGCCAGCCGCCGCGGUAAUUC